GAUCUCCUAGCCAUUCAAAAUCUUGAGGUGUAUGUUGGCUGUAGCAUAUUCAUUGUAGGAACUAGGUCGCACCAAGAUGGGAUCUAUCAACCUCGGUAAAUGAGAGGAGUAGUCCUAUGAUGAUUGAAAGAUUGAGUUCUUAAGCCCAUGGCCAUGGCAGAGUGAAAUAAUGAAAAAGAAUUUUCCAUUAGAGUUUCACAUCGGACU
rnacentral:lncRNA from 1 species